UCAUGCAAGUCGAGCGGACAGAUGGGAGCUUGCUCCCUGAUGUUAGCGGCGGACGGGUGAGUAACACGUGGGUAACCUGCCUGUAAGACUGGGAUAACUCCGGGAAACCGGGGCUAAUACCGGAUGGUUGUUUGAACCGCAUGGUUCAAACAUAAAAGGUGGCUUCGGCUACCACUUACAGAUGGACCCGCGGCGCAUUAGCUAGUUGGUGAGGUAACGGCUCACCAAGGCAACGAUGCGUAGCCGACCUGAGAGGGUGAUCGGCCACACUGGGACUGAGACACGGCCCAGACUCCUACGGGAGGCAGCAGUAGGGAAUCUUCCGCAAUGGACGAAAGUCUGACGGAGCAACGCCGCGUGAGUGAUGAAGGUUUUCGGAUCGUAAAGCUCUGUUGUUAGGGAAGAACAAGUACCGUUCGAAUAGGGCGGUACCUUGACGGUACCUAACCAGAAAGCCACGGCUAACUACGUGCCAGCAGCCGCGGUAAUACGUAGGUGGCAAGCGUUGUCCGGAAUUAUUGGGCGUAAAGGGCUCGCAGGCGGUUUCUUAAGUCUGAUGUGAAAGCCCCCGGCUCAACCGGGGAGGGUCAUUGGAAACUGGGGAACUUGAGUGCAGAAGAGGAGAGUGGAAUUCCACGUGUAGCGGUGAAAUGCGUAGAGAUGUGGAGGAACACAGUGGCGAAGGCGACUCUCUGGUCUGUAACUGACGCUGAAGAGCGAA
rnacentral:rRNA from 1 species